CUUUAGUGAUCAUGAUGUCACAAAUUCAAAUAUUGGAAUCAAUAUCUCCGCUUGUUUGUUACGUACAUCUACCCUCCUCGUACCUACUAAGUAGGAGCCUCAUGCAUUGGACCGCCUUUUAUCAAAUAGUAUCCUUUUUAUGUUACAACCUUAUAUGUAGAAAAAGAUGAUAACAUGCACGCAUUGUGUUAAACAUUAAGCUAGUUCCUUUCAUGCCAACACAAAAGCAUAGCUAUGCAACGACGAAGAAUGUAGAAUUUUGCUCUUUGCUUCUUCACAAGGUGACUACACUUCUGGCCAAAAGACUUGCAAGGAUCACAAGCUUGUUGUUG
rnacentral:lncRNA from 1 species